UGAGGAAUAUUGGGCAAUGGUCGCAAGACUGACCCAGCCAUGCCGCGUGCAGGAUGACGGUCCUAUGGAUUGUAAACUGCUUUUGUACAGGAAGAAACACUCCUACGUGUAGGAGCUUGACGGUACUGUAAGAAUAAGGAUCGGCUAACUCCGUGCCAGCAGCCGCGGUAAUACGGAGGAUCCAAGCGUUAUCCGGAAUCAUUGGGUUUAAAGGGUCCGUAGGCGGUUUUAUAAGUCAGUGGUGAAAUCCGGCAGCUCAACUGUCGAACUGCCAUUGAUACUGUAGAACUUGAAUUACUUGGAAGUAACUAGAAUAUGUAGUGUAGCGGUGAAAUGCUUAGAGAUUACAUGGAAUACCAAUUGCGAAGGCAGGUUACUACGAGUAUAUUGACGCUGAGGG
rnacentral:rRNA from 1 species